GUAGGUACUCCAUUGUCUGACGGAUCUGAGAACGCUGUCUGGGCUUCGUGCCAAGGGCUGGUAUUCACACAGCAACGACGGCCUCACAGAAGAGCUGUGGGAAGCAGGAGGGAGAGCCUCUCUUAGGGUGCCACUACUAUGGAGACACAGCUGGGCUGAACAAGAUUUGCUUCAAACGACAACAAGAGAGACAGAAAGUAUCUAAUUCAACCGCUGCCCAAGCAGGCAGGCACCAGAAGAGCUAGCAGCCAAUCCGGCCAUGCUCGAAGCCAGUCCUGCAGCUCAGCCAAUCAGUGACAUCAUUGGACAUCUCUUCAGAUUGCUCAUCAUGAUAUGAAGAUGAAACUUAAUAGCAAGAACUAAUGGAUGCUUUUCUUGGAUUCAGUCCAACACUCUGGAGACCAGAUCUUCAGGAAUGUAACUGGGAUAAUUGUCCAAAUCAAAUCCCAUGCCCUGUCAUGGGAAUCUUGAGGAACCCAUUAAUGUAAAGCUGCUGCCAGAGUUCCAUGAGGAGGCAGAAUGUUCUAGAUGAUCCCUGUCUCUUCUCCAUUGAGGAAGUAGUUUCUUGCCUUCCUGUAAGCUCGGUUAAUCACACCAGAAUAGAGGUCCUGUCUUACUAAGCACUAUACAGUAUGGAGAGAUCCUGCCAAACCCGUCGGGACGAAUAACAGAUGAAUUCGUAAAACUGUUCAUCUCUGUUAUCCUGAAUGGUCGCUCAGACAACAUUUUACUCAACUAUAAAGGGGAACACUUAAAGUGCAUAUGAGAAGAGAAGAGAAUGACCACAGGAGAAAAUCAUCUCAGGUAAAACGAAAAGGCACAAAUGUAGAGUGUAAUUAAUCUUAGAAUAUUAAAGAGGAAAUGAUUAUGUCUGUGUUUGGUAUAAGAAAUGGUCCUUCCCUUUAUGAAGCUACCUAUUUGGGAUUUUCACUGAUGGUUUUCCUUCAAGAGUUUACAGUAUUACUUGCCUUUGUCAACCUUUUGUUUGGUUUUGUGAUCAAUGCCCAGUGUCCAUCAUUCUGAGGACAUAUGUGUAUGUUGAUUUAUACAAUUCAGGUACAAGAUGGUUGAAUAGGAAGCUAUUUAAUGAAAAGGAAAACAUGUUCUCAGUGGUUAUACAUUAUAAAAGGAAGCAAAAAUCUGAUAGAAAAGUAUAAGCUCAUAGUUUUUUUUUUAAUCUUUUCCAUAUAUCUAGUAAGACAAUAAAGUCAAAGUAUAUUUUGUAGUAAUAAAAGCGACAGCCAGUGUUUCCUCUUUCAUUUUUUAAAACAUGAAAUGUAUAAAUAUAUAAGGAAAUACUUUUACUACAAUUGGAUGCAUGAUUGUUGAUUAUUUACUACAGUUUUAAUAAGUAGGAGAAUGAUUUGAAAAUAAAUAAUGGUGAAAAUUUGUGUAGGCCAAAUUAUCUGUAUUAAACUGGAGAAAAUACAUUCUAUUCUUAUUUAUUUCAAAACAUGCCAAAUCAUGAAGUAAUUACUAUGCAGUAUUAUUUUUCACAAUGAAGAUAUAAUUAAGAAAAGCUAAAUCAUUUUAGAUAUGAGUGCAAUGAUUAACGAUUGUACAACUUAUAAUUUUGCUUCAGAUGAGCUUAGAAUCGUAAAAAUGUACAUGUAACUGGCUUCGUGUGUGCUCACUGGCUUGCUUUCUUACAGUGCAGUAGCUGACAGAAUUAAGAAUCAUUUAUUUCAUUUCAACCUGUUGAACAGAGGAAUUAUAUAUAACUGUAUAUUUUGUUGAAAGUAUAUAGUUCUUGGGAAAUAGAUUUAAAUGUGUUUUGUUGAAAGGGAAUGUAUGCUCUUUGGUGUGAUAUAAGCAAAUACAAAUAUUCCAGAAUAGCAGGAAUAACACUGAUCAUGUCAUUGAUUUUAGGGUUUUUUGAUACCAUAUCUUUUCCUCAUUGCUGUAAAAGUUUAAUUUCAUCCCCACUGUAGACACAUGUCUGUACAUCUAGAAUUUGUGGGUUUUGUGUUCUUUACCUAGUCAACAAGACCUCAUUUGUUUACAAAAGCUAUAAUGUGACUAAAUCUCAAAAAAUCAUUAAAUGAGUUUUAUGUGAAUAAAUACAAUCACUCUAGUGCAUAUACAAUUUAAUAACUUCCUUUUUAGUGGUAGACUUAUCAUACUAUAUCUGUGCCUCACAACAGUAUAAUUCGUAUAUAUUAGGUUCUCAAUUAGGACAUUUUAACAACAAUGUUAAAAUACUCACAAUUAAAAACAUAAGCAAUCUUUAAAAAAGAAAAAAAUCAAAAAGAAAAGAAAAGAAAGAAGU
rnacentral:lncRNA from 1 species